GCUACUAAAGGGUAACAGUGACCCACUGGUCUUAGGAACCAGAUAAUCUUGGUGCAAUUCCAAGUAGUAGCU
rnacentral:tRNA from 1 species